AAGUUCUUCACCACCCGAAUGACAUGAGGGGCUCUUGUCUUUAGCAACCCAUAUGCGAUGGCUAGCCUUUCACUGUGUUGACAAAGCGCAGCUUCCUUUUCCUCUUCACCGACGUCAUGCAGAACGGCUGCAGUCCAAGGUUUGUGGCCAGCUCGUCGCACUCGAUCCGCCAUCUCUCUGAGAACCAGCCUUAUCUCCCUGAUUUCAGGGUGUGAAUCAUCACUCACCACAAACUCAUGCAGGUGGCCGUUUAUUUCAAUCGAACUACGUCCAGCAAUAGCAGUAACAUUCUUGCCUUUCAUCUUUCUCCUCAGAUAGCUCACUCUGUCCCACUGGGAGUUGGAUGCGUACAAGUUGGAGAGCAGAACGUAGUUCUCUGGAUUGUGAGGUUCUAACUCAAGGAGCCUCUUUGUUGCUGAUUCUGCUAUGUCAAUCCUGUUCGAGCUUUUACAAGCCACGAGAAGUGUCCUCCAGAUUACUGAAUUCGGUGAGACAGGCAUGCCAAUAACAAAGGAGUAAGCAUCAUCCAGAAGGCCAGAUCGACACAGGAGAUCAACCAUGCAGCCAUAAUUCUCCAUUGAAGGUUUAAUUCCCAAAUUUUGCAUAAUGGACCAAUACCGCCGUCCAUCUUCCACUAACCCACUAUGAGCACAGGCGGACAGCACACCGAUAAAGGUGACAUUGUUAGGCCUCACCUAGAAUAUUUGUGAUACACACAAAGAACUUGGGUGAGAAAUGAGAAUUGUAAUAACCACUUUCUGGUUUGUGGAGGUAAUAUAUGAAAUCCUAAUAAUGAUUGGAAACUAGUUUGAAUAUGUCAACUAUCAUUGCUUUUCUUUGGAGAAGUAAGUUGAGCAUACUUCAGUAUAAACUAGAUUUUAUUGCUGACCAAUUGUAUUGAACAACAUAUACAAGUCAAUGAGUAUAGUUUCAUUAUAACUUAACCAACAAAAUCAGCAGGUACCUAACCAAUCUCUAGAUACAUAUCAGUGCAGCGUUCUUACCUUGAGCUCUAGCAUUCUUGAGAAAAGUCCCAAUGCAUCCUCUACAAGCCCAUGAAUUGCAAAUCCAACUAUCAUUGCGCUCCAUGCCUUGGUAUCCUUCUCCACCAUCGCAUCAAACACUCCUCUCGCCCGCUCUAUCAACCCACACUUAGCAUACAUAUCAAUCAAAGCGGUGCUCAGCUCUAGAUCGACGGUGAUACCUUUCCUAUCGAUAUAAGCAUGCACCCACUUCCCCAGAUCAAGUGCCCCUGCCUUGGCGCACGCGGAUAUCACACUGACCAUGGUGACCUCAUCCGGCUCCACACCCACCGCCUGCAUCUCCCGGAACAGCCCCAGCGCUUCAUUCACCAUCCCCACCCUCGAGUACCCACUGACCAUCGCGCUCCAAGCGACAAGAUUCUUGUCCCCGGCCAUGCCAUCAAACACAGUCCUCGCAAGCGCAACCUGCUCGCACUUGGCGUAGAGGUUGAGCAGCCCGGUCUGCACGUAGGCGCUAGUCGCUAGCCCCUGGCGGAGCGCCUGCGCGUGCAGCUGCCGUCCCUCGCCAGGAGCUGGCACGGCCGCGCAGGCCUUGAGCGCGAACGCGAGCGUGAAGCUGUUGGGACGCGGGGACCCCGCCCGCAGCAUGCGGCGGUAGACGGCCAGGGCGGGAGCGGAGCCCGCGGCGGGGAGCGCGCGGAUGAGGGAGUUGUAGCAGAAGGCGGUCGGGUCGGGGAUUUGGUCGAACAGGUUGCGGGCGUAGGAGGACGCCGCGGCUUGGGCUGCGGCUGGUGCGGGCGCCGAGACGCAGGAGGCGAGGAGCUUCGAGAGCGCGAAGGCGGCGGUGAGGCGCGGGAGGCGGAGCCGCGUGAGGUGCGCGUGCGCGCUGCGGAGCGCGAGGAGGCCCGGGCAUCGGCGGACCAGCGAGACGAUGUGGGCCUCGAGGGCCUCGCGCGGGAGUGUGGCGGCUUCCUUCGGUUUGAGCAGUUGCAUGCGAGGCGUUCUUUCUCUGCGGGGCUCGGCCGCUCGG
rnacentral:lncRNA from 1 species